UACACUGAAAUUUCCCCCUCUUGUGCACACUUUUUCCAGGAGAGCUAUGUCCAGAAAUCAUCCCUGCUUGUUUUCUGUGAGGCCACCACAUCUCAUCAGCUAACAAUUAGAACUCCGAUAGGAACAUGUUAGAGUAGUUAAAAGGGUGAAGCUAUGAGUUGUUUCCUAAUUACAAACUGGUAUCCUGAGAACGCAGAACCCUUAUUAAUAAACGAGUACAUUGCGAGAGCACAUUUUCCAUUUCUUAAAUCAGGAAGAUUUAUGACACUAUGUGGUCAUGCCUUGUAACUGAUGUUUCCAAUGAAGACUAAUCUAAUUUCCCAGUGCAAAUCACACUGAUGUGACCUAGAGACAUUUCUGUUAUGUCACAACAGCAUUUAAUAUGAGCUGAAAUUAGCCAGAAUUACACCAUGUUUCUGGCAAAUAGUAUGCUCCAAAAAUAUCACCAUAGUAACAUGUGUAUUCUAUCAACAAUUCCCCUUUCAUAUUUUAAGGUUGCAUUCUAUCAAUAAUUUUGAAGUGCAUGAAACAAUUGUUUUGGAGCACCAAUCAGUUUCUAUAAGGUAUCUGUAACUCAAUUUAAAUGGCAUAUAGGAUUUUUAAAAAUAUUUCCCUUUACUUAAGGAAACAUUUACUUGCUCAUUAGGCCAGAUCAACUUUGCAGAUGUAGUGAGAGCUUCCAGAGAUGUUUUAUAUGACCAAGUGCUGAAAUUCAUUUUCUUUUUACUGUUUCUUUCAUCACCUUCUAAGAAAUUAUAUGUUCAUUCCAAGGAGUUAAGUCUCAACUGACCAUGGAAAGAAUAUGGCAGAUAUAACAGCACGUAAUUUCCAAGGCAAGGUCAUAAAAGACAUUGUAGCUUCUGCCUUGUCCCUUCCUCUUGGAUCUCUUGCUAUGGAGUAGCAGCCCCAUGAAGACACCCGUGGUGGAAGAUCACUGAGGACUCCUGCCAACAGCCACCCAGUGACUGAGGCCUCUUGCAGAAAUCCAUAUGAGUGGGCCAGCUGACAAGAAAAUCUUCCAGCUCUAGUCAAGCCUUCAGAACACCAGCUCUUAGUGCCAGGAACUGCCAGGUAAGAAUUCUGACUACACUGAGGCCACCAUGCUCUGAGGAAGUCAAGCCAGAUGGAAAGAUCACAGCAGGAGAACUGGUCAGCAGUCAUACUCUUGAACUCAUCCCAACCCAGACUCCAGACAUGUGAAUUGACAAGUCUUCAGAUGAUUCCAGCACAAAGCCAUUGAGUCACCUCCAGCCAUUGAGUGUCCCCAGCCGAGACACCAGUCACCAUCAAGCAGAGCCAGUAUGCCUGUUAUGCCUGUCCAAAUUCUUGACCCACUAAAUUCUAUGAAAUUAAUAAAUGGUUGUUUAAGUUACUAAAUUUUAAACUUAAUUUGUUAUGCAGUAAUAGGAAUUGUUCCUGUCUGUGAGCAAGUCCUCAUGGACAAUAAACUCAGAUCUGUCUGUGGAAUCUGGGAGAAAAAGAGACUGUUAUCCUUCCCCAUGGUACAGCCCCAGAAAGAUAAAAGUCUCAGAAUAAAACACUGUACAUGCAUAGCUCAUUUUAUUGGGCUUUGUUUAUUGCAUCUCACAAACGUUACGCUUUUUACAGACUGAAGGUUUGUGGCAACCCUGUGUCUAUUGAGCAAGUCUACCAGCACUAUUUUUCCAACAGUAUGUGCUCGCUUUGUGUCUCUGUCUCACAUUUUGGUAAUUCUCACAAUAUUUUA
rnacentral:lncRNA from 1 species